AACGCACAUUGCGCCCGCCAGCAUUCUGGCGGGCAUGCCUGUUCGAGCGUCAUUGCAACCCUCAGGCCCUGCCUGGCGUUGGAGGACUGCGCUGCAGCCUCCUAAAGCAAGCGGCGGCGGCGCCCCACAACCGAACGCAGUAAUACAUCUCGUUCUGGGUCUGGGACGUUGUCUUGCCGGAAAACCCCAACUUUUACGUGGUUGACCUCGAAUCAGGUAGGAAUACCCGCUGAACUUAA
rnacentral:misc_RNA from 1 species